AUACUUACCUGGCAAGGGAGACACCGUGAUCAAGAAGGUGGUUCACCCAGGGCGAGGCUCAGCCAUUGCACUCCGGCUGUGCUGACCCCUGCGAAUUUCCCAAAUGUGGAAAUCUCGAUUGCAUAAUUUCUGGUAGUGGGGGACUUCGUUCGCGCUCUCCCCUG
rnacentral:snRNA from 1 species